GCCCGGGUGGCUCAGUUGGUUGAGCGUCUGACUUUGGCUCAGGUGAUGAUCUCCCAGUCUGUGGGUUCAGGCCCCACAUUGGGUU
rnacentral:tRNA from 1 species